AUACAGAGGGUGCGAGCGUUAAUCGGAAUUACUGGGCGUAAAGCGCGCGUAGGCGGUCUAUUAAGUCAGAUGUGAAAUCCCAGGGCUCAACCUUGGAACUGCAUCUGAUACUGAUAGACUAGAGUUUUGGAGAGGGAAGUAGAAUUUCAGGUGUAGCGGUGAAAUGCAUAGAGAUCUGAAGGAAUACCAGUGGCGAAGGCGACUUCCUGGCCAAAAACUGACGCUGAGGUGCGAAAGCGUGGGUAGCAAACGGGAUUAGAUACCCUAGUAGUCC
rnacentral:rRNA from 1 species